rnacentral:tRNA from 1 species
GCAGCAGGGGGCACAGUGGUUAGUGCUGCCACCUUGCAUUUGAGAACCUGGGUUCAAAUCCCAUCUCCUGCUGCA